rnacentral:rRNA from 1 species
AUUGAACGCUGGCGGAAUGCUUUACACAUGCAAGUCGAACGGCAGCACGGACUUCGGUCUGGUGGCGAGUGGCGAACGGGUGAGUAAUGUAUCGGAACGUGCCCAGUCGUGGGGGAUAACGUAGUGAAAAUUACGCUAAUACCGCAUACGAUCUAUGGAUGAAAGCGGGGGAUCGCAAGACCUCGCGCGAUUGGAGCGGCCGAUAUCAGAUUAGGUAGUUGGGGGGGUAAAGGCCCACCAAGCCAACGAUCUGUAGCUGGUCUGAGAGGACGACCAGCCACACUGGAACUGGGACACGGUCAAGACUCCUACGGGAGGCAGCAGUGGGGAAUUUUGGACAAUGGGCGAAAGCCUGAUCCAGCCAUUCCGCGUGCAGGAUGAAGGCCCUCGGGUUGUAAACUGCUUUUGUACAGAACGAAAAGGUUUCUACUAAUACUAGGAGCUCAUGACGGUACUGUAAGAAUAAGCACCGGCUAACUACGUGCCAGCCGCCGCCGUAA